CCUUCAUUUCAAAUUACUUGUCGUUCUAGCUUUGUCCUUAAACAUGUAUAUCUUUGACCAUCAAUUUUUAAAAACUCAUAUGGUUUAACAUCAUAUGAUUUUUUUUUAGAUUCACUGACAAAUACUUUAAUAAAUACAACUCAUAUUUUGAACUAUACGGAUUUCUAAAAAUUGAUGGUCAAAGAUAUACAUGCUUGACUUAGGACAAAGCUAGAACAAAAAGUAUUUGAGUACUAGA
rnacentral:pre_miRNA from 1 species